GUGCCUUAAACUAAUGAGUAAGGAAAAUAUAGAGCUUUGGUAACGCUUAGCCAUGCUAUAAUCAGCGACCAUAUUUUUGAAGGGGUACAGGUCGUCCCAGGCUGCUUGGACUACUUUUCCGAGCGGCUAGGUGAAGCGAUCUGCCCG